rnacentral:tRNA from 2 species
UUGGGGUAUCGUUCAAUGGUAGGACGGCUGACUCUGGAUCAGUUAAUUGGGGUUCGAGUCCCUGUACCCCAGCCCA